UGACCGGAGACAAUGGUGGGCAUUCUAGAAUUCCUAUAGAACAAUAAGGAGAUUCAGAAGACCAAACCAGUGCUCUGAGAAAAAGUAAAGGUUUUUUCCCUGUUCAUUUGUUUCCAACUCUAGGGGGAUGUGCUCGUCUCCGUCUCCUAGCUGAGGGAGCCAGGGUUGUCUGAGGACACUUUCUGGGAUCAUGUGGUCAGCACUGACUUCUCACUGAAAUGAAAUACACCACUGUUUAAAAGAGGCAGCACAAGAUUUAUAGGGUGUGAUACCCUGCAUAGUACUCUAUUAGGAAGACCAGAAUUUAGGCUUUUCCCAGAAUGGACUGAUUGAAAUUCAAGUUGAGAGCUCAAAACGAAACUGAAAGUAAAACAGGCUGUUGGCUUUGCUGUUUGCUUGCAACGUUGGAAAAUUAGGCAGCAGAUUUAUUUUCCUUUUCCUCACCAAAAAAGCCCGCCAGUAUGAAUUCAACAUCUGGUGACCCCGACGUGAUUACCCUGCUUGGUGCUAUAUGUCUCUUGGUAAUUUCAUACUCAUUCGGCUGGAAGAAGCCUCUGCAAACCAGGGCCGGUCGUCUGCGGACGAAGCACCCUCCCAUAAAUCGUGAGUAUGGACGCAGAAUUGCCAGGUACCCCGACAUGAUAGCCCUUGAGGCUAUACGUCUCUUGGAACCCCUGUUCUCACCGCCUGGAAGAGGCUGUGCACCACGAUUUAGCCUGAAACACGGCGACAAUCUUUCGUGAGUAUGGGGGGGAGGUCUUUCCAAGCAGCAGACGCAGUAUCUGAGGAGCUUGGUGAGAUAUCCAAGACUAAUAUUAUUGUUUUUAAAAAGAUAACGGGAAAGUCCUGCCCAUGAAAAGAAUUUGAUUUACCUUCUAAAAAACUUUUGGCAAUAAAAGGGCUCUUUAAAAGUGAAUAUGUGGAAGCAGAUGGGAACAUGCCUCCACAAACCUCCCCAGCCCUGAAAAAUUUUUUGCACUCUGGAGAUUAGUUAUAGAGUGUUUUAUGAUACAUUAAAAAAUAAAUAAAUAAAAGCCUUCAGGACACUGUUAAUAGUUCCUUUUCAGACUUUGUUGAGAGAUUGCUCUCACGUUAAAUCACCCACGCAGACGCACGGCAUGAAAUUAAGCAUCAGCUCAUUCUGAAGGAGUCAGUUACACCCCCAUUAAGCAGAAUUUAAAGGAACAGUUAGACAAAAAAGGGGGGAUGGAUAGAAUAAAUUGCUGAAAUGCUUUCAGUGUGUCUGCCGGCUGCAAUUUUGCAAGCUUCUUCUGAAUGUGCUUAACAAGCCUUCAGAAAAAUGCUUGUUUCUGGCAAGCGUCAACAAGCCUUCUCUAACA